AUACGGAGGGUGCAAGCGUUACUCGGAAUCACUGAGCGUAAAGGACGCGUAGGCGGGUUGGUAAGUCAGGUGUGAAAUCCUACAGCUUAACUGUAGAACUGCACUUGAAACUACCAACCUAGAGUAUGGGAGGGGGAGAUGGAAUUAGUGGUGUAGGGGUAAAAUCCGUAGAUAUCACUAGGAAUACCGAAAGCGAAGGCGAUCUCCUGGAACAUAACUGACGCUAAGGCGUGAAAGCGAGGGGAGCAAACAGGAUUAGAAACCCGAGUAGUCC
rnacentral:rRNA from 1 species